AAAGUAAAUUUAAUAAUUAAUAAUAAAUAAUAAAAAAAUUUUUAUAUUGUAAUUGAAGUUAAAGUAUUUUUUUAGAAAAAAUUAUAAAAUUUAUAGUUAAAUAGUAUUGUAAAAGAAAUUUUAAAUAAUAUUAAAAUAAAAAUUUAUAUGAAAGUAAAUUUUAUUUAUUGUAUCUUGUGUAUCAGAGUUUAUUAAAAAAUAAUUUUAUUAAAAAUUAUUUCGAAUUUUAAAGAGUUAAUUAAUUAAAAAAUUUAAUGUUAAAUAAUUAUUUUAAAUAAUUAAUUAGAAAUGAAAAGUUAAUUCGUUUUAAAAUAUAUCUAAUUUUUUUGGAAAAAAAUUAAAUUUUUAAUUAAUAUUUUUUUUUUAUUAAUUAAUUAAUGAUUAAAAAAUUUAUUUAAAUAUUCUAAGGGAUAAGCUUUAGAUUAAAAUAUUUAAUAAAAUUAUUUAAAUAAAAUUUUUAAAAUUUAUAUUUUUUAUCAAUUAUAAUUUAUUAUAAAUAAUUUUAUUUAAUUAAAAUUUUAUUUUUAUUUAAUUUUUUACAAAAAUAUAAUUUUUAAUUAUAUAAAAUUAGAAAUAAUGAUAAAAUUAGUAUAUAAAUUUUUGUAAAUAAAAAUAAAAUUAUAAAAUUUAAUAAAAAGGAAUUCGGCAAAUAU
rnacentral:rRNA from 1 species